CCGGCCGGGGCUCUUCUAACCUGGCGCCUCCAGGGCCCUGAGCGUUGGAGUCCCGUCCCCGUGCCUCCCUCCCUUCUGCACCCACUCUCUUCCCAGCUCCCCGACAGCGCCCCCCACGCCGUCCCUUCCUUCCCAGAACCAGUUUUUCAAGCUGCCCGCAGGGUCAGGUUUCUGGGGUGGGGGUUGUUUGCCACCCCUUGGGUGAAGACAGGGGAGCUGCUGCCGCAUUCCCCAAGUCAGCCCCAGAGGCACCCCCAGAGACCCGGCAGCCCAAACAAACACAGAAGCCAGGCCCUGCCUGAACAAAAUGGCACAGGUGCUCAUCCAGCAGCCUCCUCAGGCCUCCUCGGCAGAUGCCAGGCGCUUCUCUGAAGGAUGAAAAAAAUCGAUGCCCACGGAAGGGAAGGGCGGAUGCAGGGAAGAAAAUCGGAAUUGCCGAGCCCCCCCGCAGAAGCACCCUCCUGCUCAGCAGGCCUGCGGAGCCCUGUGCUCUCCGUCCAGCGCACUUUGUAUUUUUGCAAAACUCAGAUGUGCUCAGCUGCUCUCUGCACCCCACCCAGGCCACAGCGUCCCCCUGUCCUCCUGCAUUACCCGCAGCAAGACCUGCCCCCGUGGGCUUGCUGGACGGGGGAGACACCCAACAGGCCUUGGGUCAGCAUCCUGGCCCUACCCGGGGGAGGGCGCAGCAACCCUCCCCUCUGACCUCAGCUGGGUGCCCCUGAGCUUGGGGGGGCUGUGGUGGGGACCACGGGAGAGACAGGAAGGCUGCCUCAGUGGGGGACCUGGACGGCCCCCGUGAACUGGCUGUUACUGACUAAACCAUCACUCAGCCCAGCCGCUCACCGUGAGCAUUUAGGCCGUUUAUUCGGUUUCCCUUGAAGAGAGGGCUCGCCGAGAGCUCUUUGACAGACACUCAGGUCAACGCUGGCGAUUUCUAGGAUGCAAGGUCUGCAUGGUUUGGAUCGGUCUGCUGUGCACACCCCCAAUUUGCCCUGGAACAUUCUCUGGCUCCACAGGAGUUUCCCUGGGCCGCUGUGACAAAGGACCACAGCCGUGGUGGCAUAAAGCAACAGAAAUAUGUCCUCCAGCAGUUCCGGAAGCUGCAAGUGGAAAAAUCAAGGAGUCAGGGCCUCGCCCCCUGAGGAGGUUCUAGGGGAGCGUGUCCUCUUACACAUCCAGCCCAGCGGCCGGCCGCAGGCUGCCCUCGACCCACAGCCUCCUCGCUCCAGUCUCUGCCUCUGUGGUCACCUCACCUCUGUCCUCUCCUCCCGUGUCUCUUACAAGGACACUGUCAUGUAAUUCAGGUCCACCUUCUCGUCACGACAGCCUUACCCGACAGCCUUUUUCCAAAGAAGGUAACAUUCGUGGGUUUGGACGUGGUCCUGUCUUUUGUUUGGAGGCAGCGACUCACCCCCCUACACAUUGCUUCCCAGGAAAGAGGAUCAUGUUGAAUUCCUUUUUCCCUCAUCAAGCAGGUUAUUAUCAUCUUUUUUAAAUGUUUUGUCAAUUUGACAGUUUGUUUCAAAAUCUAUUUCUUCUGCUAUUAGUGGAGAGGAGCCUAUUUAAUACGCUUGUUGGUCAGUUGUAUUUCUAAUUUUCUUACUGAUCCAUGUCCUUUGUCAAAUUCCCUAUUAGGUGGUAACAUCUUCUUCCGAGUGUGCGAGUGCUCUUUGCAGAUUAAGGAUAUUAAACCUUUAUUAUGUCUUGUAAAUAUCUUCCUAAUUGGUCACUCGCUCUUAAGGUUUUUUCGCAGUUCUUCAACGUACAUAACUUUUAAACUUUUUUGCAGUCAAAGCUUCUGGAGGAUUUUACCAUCAGUUGAAUAAUUAAACAGGCUUUCCCUACUUACAUUAUUUUCAUCUAGCACUUUUACAGUUUUACUUUUGUAUUUAAGCUUUUGUCUGUCUGCAGUUUAUUUUACUUAUGGUGUAUGUUUAGGCUAAUUGCUGCUCCCCUCCCCAAUUAUUAAAGUCACCUUAAUAUCAUUUAAUAAAUAGUCUUUAUUUUCCCUACUGAUUUAAAAUGAUACCUUUAUAACAUAUUCAAUUUGGCUUCUAGUUCCAUUAACCAUGCAGACUAAGCCAAUGGUGAUGCUCUUUCUGCCACCCCCAGAGAAGCAUUGAGAAAGUUUAGUAAUGACAAAAAUAAUCUUGAAAGGAUGGGAAACUCCCAGGUGCUAGAGGUUAGGAGGAGAAAACCAAUGCCAGACAUUAUUCUAUAACCGAGGACCCAACAAACGCUAAGGUCUUCAAUGAACUCACAACUGAAAAUAAAAACUACGGGAAGAAAUGAAAUGAUGGAUCUACUACAAAGGAGGGUUCACAGUCAAAAC